rnacentral:rRNA from 1 species
GAUGAACGCUGGCGGCGUGCCUAAUACAUGCAAGUCGAGCGAACGGACGAGAAGCUUGCUUCUCUGAUGUUAGCGGCGGACGGGUGAGUAACACGUGGAUAACCUACCUAUAAGACUGGGAUAACUUCGGGAAACCGUAGCUAAUACCGGAUAAUAUUUUGAACCGCAUGGUUCAAAAGUGAAAGACGGUCUUGCUGUCACUUAUAGAUGGAUCCGCGCUGCAUUAGCUAGUUGGUAAGGUAACGGCUUACCAAGGCAACGAUGCAUAGCCGACCUGAGAGAGUGAUCGGCCACACGGGAACUGAGACACGGUCCAGACUCCUACGGGAGGCAGCAGUAGGGAAUCUUCCGCAAUGGGCGAAAGCCUGACGGAGCAACGCCGCGUGAGUGAUGAAGGUCUUCGGAUCAUAAAACUCUGUUAUUAGGGAAGAACAUAUGUGUAAGUAACUGUGCACAUCUUGACGGUACCUAAUCAGAAAGCCACGGCUAACUACGUG